AUGCUUCCCGUGGAGCUCAAGGAGCGACUGGCCCAAAAGAGGUUAAGUGGCCCACCCCCAACCCCUCGGGGUUCAACCACCGUCGAUCUCAUCCAUGGCCUCACCGCUGAUCUCCUCUGGCUCGCUGUCAACAAUUUGCCAUUCUACAUCGCCAUCGAGCCCCUUUUGUCAUUUCUGAAGGACGCGCUCUGCGACGCUGGCUUGGGAUCCACAGCUUCCAAGUCAGACCUCAUCGACGGCGACCACGAGGAGGGCACCCUCUCCGGCUCAUCCAAGGGGAAAGAGCCCAUCUGCUCUUCCAAGGCGAAAGCGCCUGUCUGCGACAUCAGUGAGGGCACCCUACAGUCAUGCUCUUCCAAGGGGAAGGAGCCCAUCUGCGACAACAUGGAGCGCAUCCAGGGUUCGUGCUCUUCCCACGGGAACGAGCCCAUCUGUGACAAGGGGGGAGAUCUUAAGAAGUGCAUGGAUAAUGCUAGCUAUGCCUACAAUGAACACAAAUUUAAUAUUGCAAUGAAUGAUCUCAGAGUUGAAAAUGUUAGGAGAAAACCUAUAAGUACAAUGUGUGAUGGGAUAAAAGAUAAGCAGAUGGUGAGGUGGCACAACAAUAGACAGAGUGGAAAGACAGCAAGAUGGAAGAUAACACCUCAUUACAGUGAGAAGCUAGAGAUUGAGAAGGAGAGGGCCAAAUAUUGCAAGCCAAUACAAGCUGGUGUGAACUUAUGGCAAGUUACAAGUGGGCAACAAACACAUGUUGUGAACUUGGAACUUGGGACUUGUGGAUGCUGGAAGUGGGACCUUACUGGCAUCCCAUGCAACCAUGCCAUCUUUGCAAUAAACAAGGCUAAAAGGCUACUCCAAGCAACUCACAACCAAGAGUUGAUGCUCCUGCUCCUACACCACCAUCAAGAUAGGCAAGAGCUGCUGCUACUGCUCCUACACCACCACCAACACAGCAAAGAGUUGCUACUCCUGCUCCUACACCACCACCAACACAGCCAAGAGCUAGAGGAGGAGGAGCUGGCAGAAGAGGUGCUGGUAGAGGAGGUGCUGGGAGAGGAGGAGGUGGGAGAGGAAGUGUUGUCACAAGUGGUGCUGGAAGAGGUGCUGCAGGAAGAAGUGCUGCUGGAAGAGGCCAUGUUGGAGAGGAGGCCACAGCUGUGGAAACAGAAGCAUCGUGGGAAGGCGUUCAUGGCACUAAUUUUCUUCCCGGUGAUCGUGCUCCUCAGCGGCAGUAGCCGAACAAUGUCGGGCCUAUCGACAUCAGCGCUUAUCCCUCCGGUGGAGCGUAACUUGCCGGUUUGGCACCGGCCAAUCAUCGUCCAACGGGGCAAUAAGCUGCUUCAACGUAUCAACCAGAUGGAGGAGGAAGAGCUGGCCAUGGGAAGGAAUGGCACGACCCAAUGGAGCAAAAGCAGAGUCCAGACCGUUGCCGAUGUGGUCCGCUCAGAUGUUGACAGGGGUGACAAAGAAGUGCAAAUGAAGAAUAUCCUGGAGUCGAAGCCCAUGGCCUCACAAUUCCCUAGUUCCGCUACAAAGCAGGGGAUACCGGAGUUCUUUAAGGAUGAAUCUCUUGAGAGACCUAAGUUUGCUUCUCUCACAACGCUAGGGUCCAUGGACAGGAACAACUCAGGGCCUAUUGCUGGUAUCUUGCGACAUAUGAUGGGCCAAAAUGUGACAUAUGCUCUUCUUAAUCACACGGAAUAUUUUGAGUUGGUUCCAUUGGAGGAAUUCAACUCGGGGAGCAGUGACUAUGUUAAUUACUCAGAGACAGAGCCCAAUGUGCUUAUUGAAGUUCUAAUAACUACCUUUGCAGCUGGGAUAAUUGUGUGGUUGAUAUGUACAACGAUGAACAUCAAGCCUGUGAUCUCUAGAUGCUUGGGCAAGGAUGUACGCAUUCUGAUUGCUGUUGCUGUUGUGCUCGCGUCUUCCACGCAUGUGCGGUCUGCUCCUGAAGAUAUUCCACCUGUCGUGGCCACAGUUUUCGGCGAAGGAGUGGAUUCAUACGACCCAUUUCUCAAUGUUAUGCACACGUUGCUAGAAGCAAACACAGAACCUGGUUAG
rnacentral:rRNA from 1 species